AUGCCACUGCUACAAAGAGUGCAAAAUAGAUUGAUGGGCUGUGCUACUAUGCUAUCUUCUGGAGACAAGCUUAUCCUCAUCAAAUCUGUGUUUACUAGUCUGCCUAUUUACUUCAUGUGCACCCUCAGGAUUCCUCUCACUGUGAUAACCCAACACAACACGGUUUUCAGAAACUAUUUUUGGAGGAAAUAUGGAGAACAAGAGAAAGGUCAAGCACUUAUUGCGUGGGCUAAAGUCUGCAAACCGACAAACCAAGGGGGUCUUGGAGUGCUAGAUAUCAAUAUUCACAAUCAAGCAUUGCUAAUGAAAUUCUUACACAAAUUCUUGAAUAAGGAAGACACUCCCUGGGUGAAGAUCAUUUGGGAGGCUCAUUACUCUUCAUCUCAGCCUGGAGAUAAACUGGUGGGCUUCUUCCGGUGGAGGAUGUUAUAA
rnacentral:rRNA from 1 species